rnacentral:rRNA from 1 species
UUGGACCUGAAAUCAGGAAAGAAGACCCGCUGAAUUUAAGCAUAUAACUAAGCGGAGGAAAAGAAACUAACAAGGAUUCCCUCAGUAACGGCGAGUGAAGCGGGAAGAGCUCAACUUGAAAAUCUCUGUAAAUUUUUACAGCGAAUUGUAGUCUAUAGAUGUAGUCACCAGUGUAAUUGAAGGCAUAAUUCAUGUGGAAUCAUGAACCAUGGAGGGUGAUAGUCCCGUACUAUGGCUUUUAAAUUAUACAUACGGUGCGCAUUCGACGAGUCGGAUUGCUUGAGACUGCAGUCCUAAUGGGUGGUAAAUUCCAUCCAAAGCUAAAUAAAGGCGAGAGACCGAUAGCGAACAAGUACUGUGAAGGAAAGAUGAAAAGAACUUUGAAAAGAGAGUUAAAAAGUACCUGAAAUUGUUGAAAGGAAAGUGUAUGAAACUAGUGUUGCUUGAUUGUACCUGUACUUUUAGGCAGGUCAGCAUGGAUUGGCUUCGUAAGAGACGGUUUUAAUGAAGGUAUUUGUCUACGGACAUUGUUAUAGCAUUAAUUACUUGUUAUGGAGUCGAUUGAGGUAGCUUGGUACCCUAUUAGAUAUGCUUGCCAUUUGUUGAUGAUGAAUUUAUUGCACGCAAUGUUUUUGUUGUUGAUAGGUGAUUCUUGUAUGUUUGAUUGUGCCAACGUGAUGCUGACGAAAUGGUUUCCUACAGCCCGUCUUGAAACACGGACCAA